AAUUUAAGAGUUUGAUCCUGGCUCAGGACGAACAUUGGCGGCGCGCCUAAUGCAUGCAAGUCGAGCGGGCUCGUUUUCUUCGGAAAGCAUAUAGCUAGCGGCAAACGGCUGAGUAACGCGUGAGUAACCUGCCUCGAAGAGGGGAAAAACCAUGAGAAAUCAUGGCUAAUUCCGCGUAAUGUCGAUUAAUUAAUUUAAUCGAAGAAAGAAUUUAUUCGCUUUGAGAUGGGCUUGCGUCCUAUCAGGUAGUUGGUGAGGUAAUGGCUCACCAAGCCUAAGACGGGUAGCUGGAGUGAGAGCUUGACCAGCCAGAGGGGGACUGAGACACGGCCCCCACUCCUACGGGAGGCAGCAGCAGGGAAUCUUGCACAAUGGGCGAAAGCCUGAUGCAGCGACGCCGCGUGAGGGAUGAAGGUUUUCGGAUCGUAAACCUCUUUUCUUAGGGAAUAGUUUGGAAGGUACCUAAGGAAUAAGUCACGGCUAACUACGUGCCAGCAGCCGCGGUAAUACGUAGGUGGCAAAUGUUGUCCGGAAUUAUUGGGCGUAAAGGGUCCGUAGGUGGCUUGAAAAGUCUCAUGUAAAAUCUCUUGGCUCAACCAAGAAACGCCAUGAGAAACUUUCUGGCUAGAGACCAUCAGAGGGAGGUAGAAUUCCAGGUGUAGUGGUGAAAUGCGUAGAUAUCUGGAGGAAUACCAAUGGCGAAAGCAGCCUCCUGGGGUGGCUCUGACACUGAGGGACGAAAGCGUGGGUAGCAAACCGGAUUAGAUACCCGGGUAGUCCACGCUGUAAACGAUGAAUACUGGGUCUUCGGGGAAUCGACCCCUUGUGGACCGAAGCUAACGCGUUAAGUAUUCCGCCUGGGGAGUACGGUCGCAAGACUAAAACUCAAAGGAAUUGACGGGGGCCCGCACAAGCAGCGGAGCGUGUGGUUUAAUUCGAUGGUAAACGAAGAACCUUACCUAGGUUUGACAUAUAAGUGGUAGCGAUC
rnacentral:rRNA from 1 species